GGUCUGGCUAGUGUUUAGUAUGUGCAGCAUCCAGUAAUGUCUACCGCAAAGCAGAAGCUGCCUGUGACACUGAGAGUUGCUGCACAGGUGAAAUAGUAGAUUUACUCGUGGACAAGUGCGCAUCUAACCAGGAGUGGACAGACGUUCAUUUUAAACAGGAAACUUGCCUCUGGCAAAGAGGUACCUCAGCAAGAGAUUAUUACAGGAGCAGACUUUGGCCCACAGAAGCCCCACAGAGCCAGAUACGUGUGGAGAAGGUGUAGUGGUUUUCUUUUCUCCUGGGAGUGCUGAUGUUAAAUUGCUCUGACUUAAAUCUGGUUUCUAUCAUUUUAACUUACUAAACUCUGACUUAAAAAUGGACUGGUACAGCAGGCAGGUAGUAAUCAGGGUGUAUCUUAAAGUG
rnacentral:lncRNA from 1 species